rnacentral:lncRNA from 1 species
UGAGAUGGGCAUUAAAAUCAGUAUGCUACAUAGAAAACAAAAAUAUUCAAUUUUUUAAAGAUUCUUCACUGGAGAAGACUAGACUUCAGCCUACAGCGUCCUCAAGAAACAGCAAUGUGGGCAUCCAAAUUCUCAUCAAAGAAACACAGAGAAAGAAACUAAAGAUGAUGUAUGAAAUACUUGGUGACCUCUGAAGAUGGAUGAGGCUAUCUGAAGGACAGGAUGACUUACCAUAGUGAUCCAGCUUUGCAGGACCAGUCAGUACCUCUACUUGGUAGGAAUAGCUGAGAUCUAAAGAUUAGUAGCAUCUUCUCACUUCAGCCACGCAAGCCAGUGUCAGUUUCAAACGUUAUUUGAAAUUGCUACAUCAGCAAUAAAUUGUGUUGUUGAGACUGAAUGUAAAAACUA